rnacentral:rRNA from 1 species
AUGCCUCCCCUCUACAUAUUAGCUCUUGGGCUUCUCCUCUUACACACUCCUCACUGCUCGUCGUCCGCACCUGCUGGUGAUACCCUCACUGAAGGCCAAGUACUUGCCGUCGGCGACAAGCUCGUCUUGAGGAACGGCAAGUUCGCGCUCGGCUUCUUCCAGCCUGCAACGAGCACCAUCAAUAAGUCCCGGAACACCACCAGCUCCAGCUCCAGCUGGUACCUUGGCAUAUGGUUCAAUAAGAUCCCAGUUUUUACUGUCGUGUGGGUUGCUAAUCGGGAGGAGCCCAUCGCCCAUUCCAACAUCAACUCAACAAAGCUCAAGUUCUCAACUGACGGCAAUCUUGUCAUUGUCACAAACCGUGCUGAUGCCGUCACUGAAUCCCUUGUUUGGUCCACUCGUAUUGUGAAUAGAACACAAGCCAGUAGCAUAAACACCACCACCUCUAUUGCCGCUGUUCUCUUGAACAGCGGAAACCUUGCCCUACUCACAAAUAGCAAAGUGAUGUUGUGGCUGAGCUUCGGCUACCCAACAGAUAUCGCGCUUUCUGGUGCCACGCUUGGCUGGGACAAAGUCACUGGUUUCAGUCGCAAGUUCAUAUCAAAGAAGAGCCUCAUUGAUAUGGGUCUCGGCUCAUACAGCCUAGAACUAGGCACCAGCGGCGUCGCCGUCCUCAAGCGCCGCAACAAUCCCUCUGUAGUCUAUUGGCAUUGGGCAUCCUCCAAAACAUCAUCAAUGAGUGUUAUACCAUGA